rnacentral:rRNA from 1 species
UGCAAGUCGAGCGAAUCGAUGGGAGCUUGCUCCCUGAGAUUAGCGGCGGACGGGUGAGUAACACGUGGGCAACCUGCCUAUAAGACUGGGAUAACUUCGGGAAACCGGAGCUAAUACCGGAUACGUUCUUUUCUCGCAUGAGAGAAGAUGGAAAGACGGUUUACGCUGUCACUUAUAGAUGGGCCCGCGGCGCAUUAGCUAGUUGGUGAGGUAAUGGCUCACCAAGGCGACGAUGCGUAGCCGACCUGAGAGGGUGAUCGGCCACACUGGGACUGAGACACGGCCCAGACUCCUACGGGAGGCAGCAGUAGGGAAUCUUCCGCAAUGGACGAAAGUCUGACGGAGCAACGCCGCGUGAACGAAGAAGGCCUUCGGGUCGUAAAGUUCUGUUGUUAGGGAAGAACAAGUACCAGAGUAACUGCUGGUACCUUGACGGUACCUAACCAGAAAGCCACGGCUAACUACGUGCCAGCAGCCGCGGUAAUACGUAGGUGGCAAGCGUUGUCCGGAAUUAUUGGGCGUAAAGCGCGCGCAGGUGGUUCCUUAAGUCUGAUGUGAAAGCCCACGGCUCAACCGUGGAGGGUCAUUGGAAACUGGGGAACUUGAGUGCAGAAGAGGAAAGUGGAAUUCCAAGUGUAGCGGUGAAAUGCGUAGAGAUUUGGAGGAACACCAGUGGCGAAGGCGACUUUCUGGUCUGUAACUGACACUGAGGCGCGAAAGCGUGGGGAGCAAACAGGAUUAGAUACNCCUGGUAGUCCACGCCGUAAACGAUGAGUGCUAAGU